GCGCGCUUAGCUCAGUGGUAGAGCAUCGUCUUGACGUGACGAGGGCCGGGGGUUCGAUCCCCUCAGCGCGCACCG
rnacentral:tRNA from 1 species